UACAGAGGGUGCGAGCGUUAAUCGGAAUUACUGGGCGUAAAGGGUGUGUAGGUGGCGAGGUAAGUUAGAUGUGAAAGCCCUGGGCUUAACCCAGGAAAUGCAUUUAAAACUGCCGGACUAGAGUUCAGUAGAGGAUAGUGGAAUUCCCGGUGUAGAGGUGAAAUUCGUAGAGAUCGGGAGGAACACCAGUGGCGAAAGCGGCUAUCUGGGCUGCAACUGACACUGAGGCGCGAAAGCGUGGGGAGCAAACAGG
rnacentral:rRNA from 1 species